AGUGAACGCUGGCGGUAGGCCUAACACAUGCAAGUCGAACGGCAGCACAGUAAGAGCUUGCUCUUACGGGAGGCGAGUGGCGGACGGGUGAGGAAUACAUCGGAAUCUACUUUUUCGUGGGGGAUAACGUAGGGAAACUUACGCUAAUACCGCAUACGACCUACGGGUGAAAGCAGAGGAUCUUCGGACCUUGCGCGAUUGAAUGAGCCGAUGUCGGAUUAGCUAGUUGGCGGGGUAAAGGCCCACCAAGGCAACGCUCCGUAGCUGGUCUGAGAGGAUGAUCAGCCACACUGGAACUGAGACACGGUCCAGACUCCUACGGGAGGCAGCAGUGGGGAAUAUUGGACAAUGGGCGCAAGCCUGAUCCAGCCAUACCGCGUGGGUGAAGAAGGCCUUCGGGUUGUAAAGCCCUUUUGUUGGGAAAGAAAAGCAGCAGGUUAAUACCCCGCUGUUCUGACGGUACCCAAAGAAUAAGCACCGGCUAACUUCGUG
rnacentral:rRNA from 1 species